rnacentral:rRNA from 1 species
GACGAACGCUGGCGGCGUGCUUAACACAUGCAAGUCGAACGAUGAACCACUUCGGUGGGGAUUAGUGGCGAACGGGUGAGUAACACGUGGGCAAUCUGCCCUGCACUCUGGGACAAGCCCUGGAAACGGGGUCUAAUACCGGAUAUUGACCUUCACGGGCAUCUGUGAGGUUCGAAAGCUCCGGCGGUGCAGGAUGAGCCCGCGGCCUAUCAGCUUGUUGGUGAGGUAAUGGCUCACCAAGGCGACGACGGGUAGCCGGCCUGAGAGGGCGACCGGCCACACUGGGACUGAGACACGGCCCAGACUCCUGGAGGCAGCAGUGGGGAAUAUUGCACAAUGGGCGAAAGCCUGAUGCAGCGACGCCGCGUGAGGGAUGACGGCCUUCGGGUUGUAAACCUCUUUCAGCAGGGAAGAAGCGAAAGUGACGGUACCUGCAGAAGAAGCGCCGGCUAACUACGUGCCAGCAGCCGCGGUAAUACGUAGGGCGCAAGCGUUGUCCGGAAUUAUUGGGCGUAAAGAGCUCGUAGGCGGCUUGUCACGUCGGUUGUGAAAGCCCGGGGCUUAACCCCGGGUCUGCAGUCGAUAUUGGCGGGCAGGCUAGAGUUCGGUAGGGGAGAUCGGAAUUCCUGGUGUAGCGGUGAAAUGCGCAGAUAUCAGGAGGAACACCGGUGGCGAAGGCGGAUCUCUGGGCCGAUACUGACGCUGAGGAGCGAAAGCGUGGGGAGUGCCAACAGGAUUAGAUACCCUGGUAGUCCACGCCGUAAACGGUGGGCACUAGGUGUGGGCAACAUUCCACGUUGUCCGUGCCGCAGCUAACGCAUUAAGUGCCCCGCCUGGGGAGUACGGCCGCAAGGCUAAAACUCAAAGGAAUUGACGGGGGCCCGCACAAGCGGCGGAGCAUGUGGCUUAAUUCGACGCAACGCGAAGAACCUUACCAAGGCUUGACAUACACCGGAAACGGCCAGAGAUGGUCGCCCCCUUGUGGUCGGUGUACAGGUGGUGCAUGGCUGUCGUCAGCUCGUGUCGUGAGAUGUUGGGUUAAGUCCCGCAACGAGCGCAACCCUUGUCCCGUUUGCCAGCAAGCUCCUUCGGGGGUGUUGGGGACUCACGGGAGACCGCCGGGGUCAACUCGGAGGAAGGUGGGGACGACGUCAAGUCAUCAUGCCCCUUAUGUCUUGGGCUGCACACGUGCUACAAUGGCCGGUACAAUGAGCUGCGAUACCGCAAGGUGGAGCGAAUCUCAAAAAGCCGGUCUCAGUUCGGAUUGGGGUCUGCAACUCGACCCCAUGAAGUCGGAGUCGCUAGUAAUCGCAGAUCAGCAUUGCUGCGGUGAAUACGUUCCCGGGCCUUGUACACACCGCCCGUCACGUCACGAAAGUCGGUAACACCCGAAGCCGGUGGCCCAACCCCUUGUGGGAAACGCGGGAGCUGUCGAAGGUGGGACUGGCGAUUGGGACGAAG